UAAAGUGUUUACUUAAUUUCACCUUUUAAUAUCUACGUUUUACUACAUUACUACCCAAUGCAAUCCGUGUAAAAAUAACUGCUGGUCAGUGGAGGAAAGCUUUCCCUCCAGGUGGGCGUUCCUAUGAGUGUGUGACGUCACGUGAAAACUACCAACUAACUGACGAGGAGACAAACCAGGGCUAGGCUUCUACAGAAUCCUAGCCGAAAAAGAAAACCCAGAAAGGAGGAAUUUGUGCCAUUAACCGAAAGUACACUUGUAUUUGCAGUGAAAUCUUCAUCAAGGGGAUCCGUUGGUCCUCUCACACACCAGCCACAAAGAAGAGGAAGAGGGAGAAAGAGUGAAAGGACACGUAUGACAGAAUGAAGAACAAGAGGGUUCAGAAGAAACCUGAGGUGCUGAGCUGACAAGGAAGAGAUUGAAAGAUUGGAGAGUGAAUGUAAUGCCCUUAGGGAGGGAAAACCAAAAGAUGAAAGACAUCAUUAAAUCAGCAACGUUCGAUGAACUGGCUUUUGAAAAAGACAAUAAAAAAAGUAAAACCAGUGACUGGAAUCCCUUGGUUUCACCCACUCCAAGCUGCAAGUGAUUUGUCGUAUCAUUUUUGCAGACUGGUACAAACUCUUCUUUCCAGCAACUGCUGUUUACUCUUAUGAGGCUGAAAAUGUACAAAUUGCUGAUUUGUGUAUUUAAGAUCUCAAUUCCAACUGCCAGCAGAACAUUUCGGACCAUGAUUUAAUUGUUAAAUGUUUGUGUUUUGGCCAAAUCGAGAAGUGCCUAUGAUAUUCAGACUAGUCUUUUGCAGAUGUGCCUGCAUUAUUGACUGCUUUUGAGACCUAAGAGCGAGAACACUGGCCUGCUCUUAAUACCCAAUUGGCAUAACACCACAAGGAACAGUUUCUUUUAUAUCUGAUGGCAGAACAACAGAGAAAUACUUGACUGAAACUUGAUUUUUAGAUCACGACAACCCAGGAGAUGUGAUACUGGCUGAUAGAGGGUUUGAUGUGGUGGUCUUCAAGAUCCCAACUUUUACUAAAGGGGAAAAAGCCACUGGGUCCUGUUGAGUUGGAGUCCAAACGAAGUCUUGCAUCAGUAUUCAUUCAUAUUUUUAAUCUUAAAAACAAAUUUGAUGUCAAAUCUGUGAAUGAAACCACGUAUAAUAUAAAUAUAUAUUAUUCUGUUAAAUAAAAAGCUUCAAAUUU